AUCACUCCCACGCUAAGCUCGUGCGACGGGUGGUCUGGUACAAACACAAAGUUUUUGUUAUUGAUUUGUACAACAAACGGAAUGGAGAAAUGUGUCUGAAUUCUGAGAGAGCAGUGUUUUUUUAUUAUUCGUUUAAAGAUUCACUAGCUUCUUAACAUUAUUUUUCCGUCCGUGUGUUUAGGAGUCAGACCUCUUGGUGGUGGUAAUGCACCACAAAGUUGCCGACCACUAAAGGUAGAAGAAGAAACACGGAACUGUCAAACAGCAUGUUAAUUCAUCUCAGAAAUUAGUUUUGUUCAGCUUCAGGUCUGAAUCAGUCUGGAGCAAUUCUAAUCCUGUUUCUGCUGAUUAACACAAUGGCGUCUGACAGACAGCACUGCUCGUGCUGCUCCCACCCAGUCUCUUCUCCUAGUGUUUACCAGACGCUGAAUGAAAUGGAUUUUGAACGAGGUAUCUGGUCUGCUGCAAUGGAUGGGAACUUGGAGAGGGUCGAGUCCUUGGUCCAGAAGGGCACAGACCCUAACCUGAGAGACUCAUCUGGAUACACAGCUCUGCAUUAUGCAAGUCGAAGUGGUCAUCUUGCUGUAUGCAAGUUUCUUCUUGAGGAGGGUGCCUGUGCAUCUCCCCAGACACCAGGUAGUGCCACCCCACUGCAUCGAUCAGCUUACUGCGGACACCUGGAUGUGGUUAGACUCCUUCUGCACCACAGGGCAGAUCCAAUGGUCUGUGAUGACGAUGGUUCAUCCCCUUUACAUAAGGCUGCAGAACAGGGUCAUGAAGAGGUGUGUCAGCUACUUCUUGAGCACUGUCCAGCACUCCGCAGCCAGGUUAACAAGAGGCUUCAGCUACCCUACCAGCUGGCGCAGCGGGGGGAUCUGCAGGAGCUCUUAAAGCCACCUCGAUGACAACGGACACACUGCAUCUGGGACAUGCUGAGUUGCUAAGAUCAGACAAUGAUGUGACCUCAAAACAUACUAGGUUAUCAAAGGCAGACACACUUUAUAUGCAAAGGGAACAAAGGAUGGAAGCCUGGGGGUGAAGAAAGGAUGUUGAUAUUUCCAUAUCUACUGAAACAGAUGGAAAUACUUUCAACUAUUGUCUCAUAUACUUACUUAUUCAAAGCAUGUUCAAUAAGUAACACAUGCACAUACAAGAGGCAGAUACCUUCUCCUCUCAGCCUCCCACAGAUGUGCAGAACGAGUACUGCACUUCUCCGGCGCUCCUACAGCCUGCACUAAACAAACCCACGACAGAAACCUCUCGCUGCAGUCUGAGGAACUUUCAUUGGGUCCGCCGGUGGGUGGUGUUUCCAAACUACCUUCAAACCACAUCCAGCGCCGUGACUGGAGGGGUGCCAGGCCACAUCUGGAGCUCAUUGCAGCUGACGCCACACAGCACAAGGAGAUGGGGUGUUGGAGUGGGGUGGGGUGGGGGUUUGGGUUGGGGGUAUUUUAGCUUGGAGAACUAAGCCAAGAGAGCUGACAAGUUCCCCCUUCCACAGAGCUGAGGAGCCGUUACCAGGGUCACCCAACAUGAGUGCCACAUGUCAGUAAUGGCAGUGUUAAGUAAUAGCAGUGGCUCAGCCUUUUUUUUUCAUUGGUCACUGAAAGGAUUGGUUAUAAGAUAUCCUUGUUUGUUAUCUAUAUGGCACAACAAACAAAAGCACAUUAUGCUAUUUGAAUUAAACCAGUAAUUUUGACCGGCACACAGACUAUCACACCCGCCCACAGCACCCUCUGAUUGUUCCCUUGCCAGGUUCUAUGUAACAUAAUCAAAGGUGAUGUCUUAGAUUUGCUAGCAGUGAGCGAGGUAAUGAAAACCCUCUGUGUCACUCGCUAAAACCGGAGGAAUGUUAAAGGGCCUCAUUCUUUUUUGAUAAUUUUUCAUGAGCUGGUUUGAAUUUGAGAGCUGCUUUGCCCCUUUAUGUGGAAACAAUCAGAAAUGGGCCUGUGUUGGGUGAAAAUGAGCAGCUAUGUCAGGGGGAAAAAAAGACAUUUUCCACCCAUUUUAAAGUUACUUUCAAGGAACUGUGCUACUUAUUUUUGUCAGUGAAAAUGCUGUAACCAGUGACAUCUAGAAGGCUAAUGUGUGAUAAAGUGUGAUUUUUAUGCCCAGCUUUUCAGUGCUUUCACGUAGUGUGAGGACUUGGGGAGGACUCCAUAAGAUGAGGAAUUUGGAUUACAGCUCUGCUUUGUGAGAUUUAUUUGGAAAGCAAUGAAACUUCCUGGCCCUGGAACCCACUUCCACCAUAAUGAGCCCAAGUUAAACCAGGACUGGAUGUUAUUUUCCUCAGUAAUAGAAGGUGGUCUGUAUGCCAUGCUUGCAUGGAGGAUUUGCAGACAGCGCUUAUUUUAAACAGCACUUCAGCCUGAGAGGGGAUGAUGAGAACAGCUUGUCCUCUGUGUGUAUUUCUUUUCCUUUGUGAAUUUUAAGCUGUAACAUUAGUUGUUUUUGUGACUACUAAAAAAGGUAUAGUUCAACACUAAAAAACAUGUAGUUCACCGUUGUAUUCCUUUGUGCCAAAUGUCAGUUUACUCCAUUUAGGUGAUAUCUGGGUGAUUGUUUUCACUGGUAAAAGCAUCAUCUGGACCUUAUCUUUCCUGUGUCCGCUUGUACAAAACCACUGCUGUUCUCUGGCCCCCAAAGCUGCCCUGGCAGAGCCAGACCUGUCUGAGUUAUCCCAUAGUAAUCACAUAAAUGGCUGGCAGAUGGGCACACAUUAAAAAGCGCAGCACCAGGCUCUGACAUGGAGGACCGCCCAGCGUCGUCUCAUCUGCUUUGGGGAAGCAGGAGUGUGGCUGUUGGUUGAGGUGGUGUGUGUGUAAUCAAAUCUACGGGAGCUGCUCCUCAGAGAUGCUGCAUAAUCCAAUUUAGGUCCACUCCUACUUCAAAGCAGCAUGUCGUCUGCUGGUUGAAGUGAUGUUGCAGAUCUUACGCUUUCGUUUUCCAGGUCAUCGGGUGAUGAGAGCCAUGAGGCCAGAGAGCUGUAGCUCACCUCUUCUAGGCAAUCAGUGCUAUGGCCUGUGGCUGUAGGCCUAUCAGGUGAUUCAGCCAAACACAAAUAGGGCCAUGUGAUACAAGUAAUGAACAUUAUACCCGUCAUUUUAAUAUUGGAUAUGGAAGUCAUGUGGAUUUGGGCUCCAGUAGCCAUACUUGGACUAAAACGCACAUCUGGACAAUGCCAAAAUGUCCCUACCUGCGUCUAUAAUCAUGAAUCAUGAGUUUCCUCAGGAAGUUGUGCUUGGUAAACAUUCAGUAGUUUUUGUGUUACUGUGGGUAUAUUAAAGGCAGAAAGUUUAUUUUCCCAGAUGUUUUUUUUUCUUUGAUAUGCUGUGGUGGAUGGUUAAGUUUCUUUUUAUUGAUUAUGGAGAUGUAAUCUUCUCAAAAGCAUGUCCAGCAAAACGACCCAUAAGCUGUACCAUAUGAGUCAGAGGACAAUUAAUGAAGCUUUAUGGAUCAUGUAUCUAGGUCCCAUCAUACCAGAAUGUUGAUGGAUAUCAGCUUAUUAUGUAUCAUCUGCCAAAUCUGCAAAGGAUCCCUUCAGAUAUACUGUAUACUGUACAUAUGUUGGUUGUUCAGUGCACUUGAGCUUUUCCAGUAUAUUGUUCACAUGCACAUAUUGUCCACCUUAUUGAGUUGAGUCUAUUUUCCAUGUUUUUACUCACCUAUUUAGCAACUGUGGUUCACAAGGAUGGAGGUUUUGAAAACUUUUUGAGAGAGCGUAAACCAGAGCAGUUACCCAGUGUCAUUCUUACAGCACUAGAUAAAAUAGUUCUAGUAUUUGGUAUUUAAACAGCUGACAUCGUUGUAAAUGGUAAAUAAACUACAUCUAUAUAGCA